GAUAAAUAUUGUCUUGAGCUUUUUGCUCUAACAAAAAAUCACUUCACUUGCAUAUAAAUGUAAUUGUUGAAGCCUUAAUUAUCAUUUUGAGUUAAACUCAAAAUAAGAAAGUGUCUAAAGUGUCAGAAAAGAAUGGUUGCGAAAUGUGUCAGAAAACUUAUGUUCAUAAUGAUAGAAUUUCUUAUCCUUAUUCUCCUAAGUAUGCAAGCCAAUGAUUGUGCCCCUACCUCAUUCUUUCUGUCUCUACCUCCCAUCAUGCCUUCUGAUUCCUCAAAACUUCUUGGUGAAAUUUUCUUUUGCCUUCAUGAAGAUAUUGAAUACAAUUGCGCAAAAAUUAAAAACACAUGGCCAUCUCCUGACUUUGAAUAUGAAACUUGUAUUUUUCUUAGUUUUAAAUACUGCUUACAUAAGUAUUUUCAUGAAGACCGAUUAGGGUAUCAUGUCAUUUCAUCUUGCAUCAGAAAGGAUUGCCUCCCAAAAUCAAUAAUUGGAGCCAUCGUUACUCGAAGUGUCCAAUUCGUGAGUUGUUUAUUGGAAUGUUAUAAAGAAUAUCUCGAGAAAGCCUUACGGCUUUAAAACCAUGUUUUAUAGAGGAUCCAAGAUUAGAGGAUGGACAAGCAGAUCAGGAGGUAAUCGCAACUACUUAUAUCAUUAUGGUUACUGUGUUAAUUUAUGCUUGGGGGACUUCAUGUGGUUAUGCUGACAAUGGAUAUAUGGCACUUAGUACCCUUUUGCAUUAUACUGAAGUUAUUUACUAUUUAAUAAGGACUUAUAUUAAGAUAUGAUUUAGACUUGGUAUGUGUUUGCACUUAUCGACUUAUGAAUCGCAUGUAAUGUUAUGGUAUUAUAUGAUGGCUAUUAUUUAGAUGCUC